AACGAACGCUGGCGGCAGGCCUAACACAUGCAAGUCGAGCGCCCCAGCGAUGGGGAGCGGCGGACGGGUGAGUAACGCGUGGGAACGUGCCUCUUGCUACGGAAUAGCCUCGGGAAACUGGGAGUAAUACCGUAUGUGCCCUACGGGGGAAAGAUUUAUCGGCAAGAGAUCGGCCCGCGUUGGAUUAGGUAGUUGGUGGGGUAAUGGCCUACCAAGCCGACGAUCCAUAGCUGGUUUGAGAGGAUGAUCAGCCACACUGGGACUGAGACAUGGCCCAGACUCCUACGGGAGGCAGCAGUGGGGAAUCUUAGACAAUGGGCGCAAGCCUGAUCUAGCCAUGCCGCGUGAGCGAUGAAGGCCUUAGGGUUGUAAAGCUCUUUCAGGGGGGGAAGAUAAUGACUGUGCCCCCAGAAGAAGCCCCGGCUAACUCCGUGCCAGCAGCCGCGGUAAAG
rnacentral:rRNA from 1 species